rnacentral:rRNA from 1 species
ACGCACGCUGGCGGCGUGCUUCACACAUGCCAGUCGCACGGAAAGGCCCUGCUUUUGUGGGGUGCUCGAGUGGCGAACGGGUGAGUAACACGUGAGUAACCUGCCCUUGACUUUGGGAUAACUUCAGGAAACUGGGGCUAAUACCGGAUAGGAGCUCCUGCUGCAUGGUGGGGGUUGGAAAGUUUCGGCGGUUGGGGAUGGACUCGCGGCUUAUCAGCUUGUUGGUGGGGUAGUGGCUUACCAAGGCUUUGACGGGUAGCCGGCCUGAGAGGGUGACCGGCCACAUUGGGACUGAGAUACGGCCCAGACUCCUACGGGAGGCAGCAGUGGGGAAUAUUGCACAAUGGGCGGAAGCCUGAUGCGGCAACGCCGCGUGCGGGAUGACGGCCUUCGGGUUGUAAACCGCUUUCGCCUGUGACGAAGCGUGAGUGACGGUAAUGGGUAAAGAAGCACCGGCUAACUACGUG